rnacentral:rRNA from 2 species
AGUCGAACGAUGAAGCUUCUAGCUUGCUAGAAGUGGAUUAGUGGCGCACGGGUGAGUAAGGUAUAGUUAAUCUGCCCUACACAAGAGGACAACAGUUGGAAACGACUGCUAAUACUCUAUACUCCUGCUUAACACAAGUUGAGUAGGGAAAGUUUUUCGGUGUAGGAUGAGACUAUAUAGUAUCAGCUAGUUGGUAAGGUAAUGGCUUACCAAGGCUAUGACGCUUAACUGGUCUGAGAGGAUGAUCAGUCACACUGGAACUGAGACACGGUCCAGACUCCUACGGGAGGCAGCAGUAGGGAAUAUUGCGCAAUGGGGGAAACCCUGACGCAGCAACGCCGCGUGGAGGAUGACACUUUUCGGAGCGUAAACUCCUUUUCUUAGGGAAGAAUUCUGACGGUACCUAAGGAAUAAGCACCGGCUAACUCCGUGCCAGCAGCCGCGGUAAUACGGAGGGUGCAAGCGUUACUCGGAAUCACUGGGCGUAAAGGGCGCGUAGGCGGAUUAUCAAGUCUCUUGUGAAAUCUAAUGGCUUAACCAUUAAACUGCUUGGGAAACUGAUAGUCUAGAGUGAGGGAGAGGCAGAUGGAAUUGGUGGUGUAGGGGUAAAAUCCGUAGAUAUCACCAAGAAUACCCAUUGCGAAGGCGAUCUGCUGGAACUCAACUGACGCUAAGGCGCGAAAGCGUGGGGAGCAAACAGGAUUAGAUACCCUGGUAGUCCACGCCCUAAACGAUGUACACUAGUUGUUGGGGUGCUAGUCAUCUCAGUAAUGCAGCUAACGCAUUAAGUGUACCGCCUGGGGAGUACGGUCGCAAGAUUAAAACUCAAAGGAAUAGACGGGGACCCGCACAAGCGGUGGAGCAUGUGGUUUAAUUCGAAGAUACGCGAAGAACCUUACCUGGGCUUGAUAUCCUAAGAACCUUUUAGAGAUAAGAGGGUGCUAGCUUGCUAGAACUUAGAGACAGGUGCUGCACGGCUGUCGUCAGCUCGUGUCGUGAGAUGUUGGGUUAAGUCCCGCAACGAGCGCAACCCACGUAUUUAGUUGCUAACGGUUCGGCCGAGCACUCUAAAUAGACUGCCUUCGUAAGGAGGAGGAAGGUGUGGACGACGUCAAGUCAUCAUGGCCCUUAUGCCCAGGGCGACACACGUGCUACAAUGGCAUAUACAAUGAGACGCAAUACCGCGAGGUGGAGCAAAUCUAUAAAAUAUGUCCCAGUUCGGAUUGUUCUCUGCAACUCGAGAGCAUGAAGCCGGAAUCGCUAGUAAUCGUAGAUCAGCCAUGCUACGGUGAAUACGUUCCCGGGUCUUGUACUCACCGCCCGUCACACCAUGGGAGUUGAUUUCACUCGAAGCCGGAAUACUAAACUAGU